rnacentral:rRNA from 1 species
UGAGAUUUCCCAUCACGUAAGUGAGUAAGAUCCCUCAGAGAAGAUGAGGUAGAUAGGUCUCGUGUGGAAGCAUGGCGACAUGCGGAGCUGAGAGAUACUAAUCGAUCGAGGACUUAACCAAA